rnacentral:rRNA from 1 species
GAUCAUGGCUCAGGAUGAACGCUAGCUACAGGCUUAACACAUGCAAGUCGAGGGGCAGCAGGACGAUAGCUUGCUAUUGUUGCUGGCGACCGGCGCACGGGUGAGUAACGCGUAUCCAACCUUCCCCUUAGUAGGGCAUAGCCCGGUGAAAAUCGGAUUAAUACCCUAUGUUGUGUCAUGAGGACAUCUGAAUAACACUAAAGAUUUAUCGCUAAGGGAUGGGGAUGCGUCCGAUUAGGUAGUCGGCGGGGUAACGGCCCACCGAGCCCUCGAUCGGUAGGGGUUCUGAGAGGAAGGUCCCCCACACUGGUACUGAGACACGGACCAGACUCCUACGGGAGGCAGCAGUGAGGAAUAUUGGUCAAUGGGCGUAAGCCUGAACCAGCCAAGUAGCCGUGCAGGAUGACGGCCCUAUGGGUUGUAAACUGCUUUUAUACGGGGAUAAAGUGAGGGACGUGUCCCUUAUUGUAGGUACCGUAUGAAUAAGGACCGGCUAAUUCCGUGCCAGCAGCUGC